rfam:Kutzneria albida DSM 43870, complete genome.
CCGGCUCCGGUUCACCCCGCGCACGACAGCACGGCGGGGACCCGGCGGCC